CCCGCUGAACUUAAGCAUAUCAAUAAGCGGAGGAAAAGAAACUAACAAGGAUUCCCCUAGUAACUGCGAGUGAAGCGGGAAAAGCUCAAAUUUAAAAUCUGGCGGUCUCGCGGCCGUCCGAGUUGUAAUCUGGAGAAGCGUCUAUCCGCGUCGGACCGUGUACAAGUCUUCUGGAAGGGAGCGUCGUAGAGGGUGAGAAUCCCGUCUUUGACACGGACAACCGAUGCUUUUGCGAUGCGCUCUCGAAGAGUCGAGUUGUUUGGGAAUGCAGCUCAAAAUGGGUGGUAAAUUCCAUCUAAAGCUAAAUAUUGGCGAGAGACCGAUAGCGAACAAGUACCGUGAGGGAAAGAUGAAAAGCACUUUGGAAAGAGAGUUAAACAGUACGUGAAAUUGCUGAAAGGGAAACGCUUGAAGUCAGUCACGUUGACUCGGAAUCAGCUCUGCUUUUGCUGGGUGUACUUUCUUGUCAAUGGGUCAGCAUCAAUUUUGACCAUUGGAUAAAGUUGCUGGGAAUGUAGCAUCCUUUUGGAUGUGUUAUAGCCUGGUGAUGCAUACAGUGGUUGGGAUUGAGGAAUUCAGCACGCCACCAGGCCGGGUUUUGACCACGUUCGUGCUUAGGAUGCUGGCAUAAUGGCUUUAAUUGACCCGUCUUGAAACACGG
rnacentral:rRNA from 1 species